rnacentral:rRNA from 1 species
ACACUGUAUUAUUAUGAACCCAUAAUUAAUAUUGAAUAAAUUCAUAAAUUAUGAAAACUAUUAUGCUAGAACUAGUAACAAGAAAAUGUAUUUCUCCAAGGCGCAAGCAUAAGCCAACAACGGACCACCCAUUGGCACAUAACGGCACUGAAUCAACUAUAACAAAAUAACUAGAAAAUAUUAUAUUUUAUUACACCGUUAACCUUACACAAGAGUCCCCCUGGAAAGAUUAAAAGGGGGAGAAGGAACUCGGCAAAUACUAGCCCCGCCUGUUUACCAAAAACAUCGCCUCUUGAUUAGAUAUAAGAGGUCCAGCCUGCCCAGUGUUUUAAUUCAACGGCCGCGUGAUUUAAGCGCGCGAAGGUAGCAUAAUAAUUUGUUCUUUAAAUGAGGACUUGUAUCAAUGGCAUCACGAGGGCUAUACUGUCUCCUCCCCCCAAUCAGUGAAACUAAUCUUCCUGUGAAAAAGCAGGAAUAAGACUAUAAGACGAGAAGACCCCAUGGAGCUUAAAACACAGCAUUAAUUCUAAUUACAUUAUCAGUAUAAUUUUAUAUACUACAUGCCAGUUUUAGGUUGGGGUGACCGCGGAGUACAACAAAACCUCCACAACGAAAAAGGUUUAUACCCUUAUCCAAGAGAUACUUCUCUAAGAAUUAUUCAAUAUAACGUUUAAUGACCCGACUAUCGAUCAACGGACCAAGUUACCCUGGGGAUAACAGCGCAAUCCACUUUGAGAGCCCCUAUCGACAAGUGGGCUUACGACCUCGAUGUUGGAUCAGGGUAUCCUAGUGGUGCAGCCGCUACUAAAGG